GGAUGUCUACGUGCAACAAUUGGCCGUUCAAUAGGGUCUUCAUAGGCUGCACCAUCCCUUGGCCUUCUGUUGUCCACCCGAUCCCUGUUGCCAUUGAUUUCUAAAGCAACAAGGCAAUUUGCAAUUUUUUCGAGACGUCUUUCUAUAUGCCUUAACUUGUGGUUCACUCGUUGCUCUAGUAAGUGCUUCAAAUGCUGCAACACAUCGUCCCUUGGUUCAAGGGCUC
rnacentral:misc_RNA from 1 species